UGAGCCGGCCGGGCGAACGCGGCGCGCGAACCGCCCACCUGGAAAUCAGGUGGCGUAGCGCGCGUCGAGGAAAGUCCGGACUCCACAGAGCACGGUGGUUGCUAACAGCAACCCGGGGUGACCCGCGGGCAAGUGCAACAGAAAGUAUUCCGCCCAGCCUGUGCGCUGGGUAAGGGUGAAAGGGUGCGGUAAGAGCGCACCAGCAUCCCAGGUGACUGGGGUGGCUGGGUAAACCCCACCGGGAGCAAGGCAUCACGGCCCGUCCACCGCGGCGGGCCCGAUCAGGCCGAGUAGGUUGCUCGCCGAAGCCUGAAGGUAGCUGCUUGAGGCGGUCAGCGAUGGCCGACCCAGAUGGAUGUUCGCCGCGCUGUACGGCUCGUCGUGGCCUGUGCAGCGGCAAGACAGAAUCCGGCUUACAGGCCGACUCAUUCG
rnacentral:RNase_P_RNA from 1 species